rnacentral:misc_RNA from 1 species
GGAGAGGAGAAGAAGAAAAAAAAGAAGGAAAAGAAAGAUGAUAACCAGAUUUUUUUGAGUUUCUCUAGAAAGAAAGGACACUAAAAAUAGGAAAAGAAAGAUUUUGGUCUAGGAUAUAAGAAAUUAAAGAGAGAAAUGGAGAAAGAAGGAGAUAGGAGCAAGAAGUUUUCUUCUGGGGCAACAUUUCUUCCAUCCAUUUAGGUUAUAUGUCUAGUGGGGAUAUCGACAUAAGGCUUCAACGCAUUAAAGAUUUUCUAAAACAUCUAUCAGAAUCUACAAGCUCAUCUCAAAACAUUCCUUUUGUUGCUACAGAUGUACCUCCUAUUGAAGAACAAUUUGAAAAUCCUUUUAUUGAUCUUCUGAGCAAGAAGCCGAAACAAUACUAAUGGCAGCGAAUCAAAAUGCCAAUCCUACUCUAAAGGAGUUGGCUACUCCUAACACAAACUAAUAACCAUUGUGUAUUUACUAUCCUACUUUAAUAGUAGCUUUUGAAUUAAAAUCUGGAUUGAUACAUCUUUUGCCCUCUUUUCAUGGUCUUGUAGGUGAAG